ACUCCUACGGGAGGCAGCAGUGGGGAAUAUUGCACAAUGGGCGCAAGCCUGAUGCAGCCAUGCCGCGUGUAUGAAGAAGGCCUUCGGGUUGUAAAGUACUUUCAGCGAGGAGGAGGGCGAUAAGGUUAAUAACCUUGUCGAUUGACGUUACUCGCAGAAGAAGCACCGGCUAACUCCGUGCCAGCAGCCGCGGUAAUA
rnacentral:rRNA from 1 species